rnacentral:rRNA from 1 species
GAGCUUGCUCCCGGAUGUUAGCGGCGGACGGGGGAGUAACACGUGGGUAACCUGCCUGUAAGACUGGGAUAACUCCGGGAAACCGGAGCUAAUACCGGAUAGUUCCUUGAACCGCAUGGUUCAAGGAUGAAAGACGGUUUCGGCUGUCACUUACAGAUGGACCCGCGGCGCAUUAGCUAGUUGGUGGGGUAAUGGCUCACCAAGGCGACGAUGCGUAGCCGACCUGAGAGGGUGAUCGGCCACACUGGGACUGAGACACGGCCCAGACUCCUACGGGAGGCAGCAGUAGGGAAUCUUCCGCAAUGGACGAAAGUCUGACGGAGCAACGCCGCGUGAGUGAUGAAGGUUUUCGGAUCGUAAAGCUCUGUUGUUAGGGAAGAACAAGUGCGAGAGUAACUGCUCGCACCUUGACGGUACCUAACCAGAAAGCCACGGCUAACUACGUGCCAGCAGCCGCGGUAAUACGUAGGUGGCAAGCGUUGUCCGGAAUUAUUGGGCGUAAAGGGCUCGCAGGCGGUUUCUUAAGUCUGAUGUGAAAGCCCCCGGCUCAACCGGGGAGGGUCAUUGGAAACUGGGAAACUUGAGUGCAGAAGAGGAGAGUGGAAUUCCACGUGUAGCGGUGAAAUGCGUAGAGAUGUGGAGGAACACCAGUGGCGAAGGCGACUCUCUGGUCUGUAACUGACGCUGAGGAGCGAAAGCGUGGGGAGCGAACAGGAUUAGAUACCCUGGUAGUCCACGCCGUAAACGAUGAGUGCUAAGUGUUAGGGGGUUUCCGCCCCUUAGUGCUGCAGCUAACGCAUUAAGCACUCCGCCUGGGGAGUACGGUCGCAAGACUGAAACUCAAAGGAAUUGACGGGGGCCCGCACAAGCGGUGGAGCAUGUGGUUUAAUUCGAAGCAACGCGAAGAACCUUACCAGGUCUUGACAUCCUCUGACAACCCUAGAGAUAGGGCUUUCCCUUCGGGGACAGAGUGACAGGUGGUGCAUGGUUGUCGUCAGCUCGUGUCGUGAGAUGUUGGGUUAAGUCCCGCAACGAGCGCAACCCUUGAUCUUAGUUGCCAGCAUUCAGUUGGGCACUCUAAGGUGACUGCCGGUGACAAACCGGAGGAAGGUGGGGAUGACGUCAAAUCAUCAUGCCCCUUAUGACCUGGGCUACACACGUGCUACAAUGGACAGAACAAAGGGCUGCAAGACCGCAAGGUUUAGCCAAUCCCAUAAAUCUGUUCUCAGUUCGGAUCGCAGUCUGCAACUCGACUGCGUGAAGCUGGAAUCGCUAGUAAUCGCGGAUCAGCAUGCCGCGGUGAAUACGUUCCCGGGCCUUGUACACACCGCCCGUCACACCACGAGAGUUUGCAACACCCGAAGUCGGUGAGGUAACCUUUAUGGAGCCAGCCGCCGAAGGUGGGGCAGAUGAUUGGGGUGAAGUCGUAACAAGGUAGCCGUAUCGGAAGGUGCGGCUGGAUCACCUCCUUUCUAA